CAGGCCACGCAUGUGCCUUCAGGCCAGUGACCAAGGCAAAGUGUGUUUCUUCAGGGCCAUUGGCCCAGGUUAUCUGGGAUUCUUCAGGGUCAGUGACCCAGGCCAAGGGUGUGCGUUCUGCACGUGUGAAACAGGCCAAGUGUGUCCUUGUACAAAAGUGACCGAGGCCCAUGGUGUGCUUUCAUGUCCAGUGACACAGGCCCCGGGUUGGCCUUCAGUGCCAGUGACCAAGGCCCAGGAUGUGUCUUCAGGGCCAGUGACCCAAGCCAAGUUUGUGACUUCAGGGCCAGUGACC